CCGACUCCUACGGGAGGCAGCAGUAGGGAAUCUUCGGCAAUGGACGAAAGUCUGACCGAGCAACGCCGCGUGAGUGAAGAAGGUUUUCGGAUCGUAAAACUCUGUUGGUAGAGAAGAACGUUGGUGAGAGUGGAAAGCUCAUCAAGUGACGGUAACUACCCAGAAAGGGACGGCUAACUACGUGCCAGCAGCCGCGGUAAUACGUAGGUCCCGAGCGUUGUCCGGAUUUAUUGGGCGUAAAGCGAGCGCAGGUGGUUUAUUAAGUCUGGUGUAAAAGGCAGUGGCUCAACCAUUGUAUGCAUUGGAAACUGGUAGACUUGAGUGCAGGAGAGGAGAGUGGAAUUCCAUGUGUAGCGGUGAAAUGCGUAGAUAUAUGGAGGAACACCGGUGGCGAAAGCGGCUCUCUGGCCUGUAACUGACACUGAGGCUCGAAAGCGUGGGGAGCAAACAGGAUUAGAUACCCUGGUAGUCCACGCCGUAAACGAUGAGUGCUAGAUGUAGGGAGCUAUAAGUUCUCUGUAUCGCAGCUAACGCAAUAAGCACUCCGCCUGGGGAGUACGACCGCAAGGUUGAAACUCAAAGGAAUUGACGGGGGCCCGCACAAG
rnacentral:rRNA from 1 species